rnacentral:lncRNA from 10 species
CAGACAUCACCUUUCAUUCUGGACCUACCAUGAAAGACUUCUGAAUCCAGGAAGAGAAACUGACUGGGCAACAUGUUAUUCAGACUUCUGACCAAAUGUGUGUGCAGAGUUUCUACACCAGUUCUCCAACUCUCUGGAUACCAACCGCGUAUCCCACAAUUCCAUUCUGACACUACCUAGAGUUAGCACAGAACCCACAGGUUAGGGGCUCAGUCCCACAAGACCACCCUCACUUCAGAUGCCAGUUGCAAGUCCUAGGUUGUCACCUGUAUUUUGACCAACCAGUUAGAAAUCGGGGUUUCCCAUGACCCUCUUCUUGAGUUUAAUUAUUUACUAGAACAACUCACAGAACUUAGAAAAACAGGUUUUUUUUCUUUUCUAUUUAAGAGACAGGGCCUCGCUCUGUUGUCCAAGCUGGUGUGCAGUGGUGCAAUCAUAGCUCAUUGAAGCCUCAACCUCCAGGGCUCAAGUGAUUCUCCUGCUUCAGCCUCUCAAGUAGCUGGAAUUACAGGGUUCCCACCACCACAUUUGGCUCAUUUCUUUUAUUUUUUGUAUAGAUGGGGUCUUCUUAUGUUGCCCAGGUUGGUCUCAAAUUGCUAGGCUCAAGUGAUUCCACCCACCUCUGCCUCCCACAGUGCUGGGAUUACGGGCAUGAGCCAGCGCAUCUGGCCACCUUAUUUUCAAUUACUGGCUCAAUGUAAUGGCUCCAUCUCAGGAACAGCCAAUGAAAGAGAUGCACAGGACAAGGAAGUGAGCUCACAAUGACUCAAGCUGCCACAUAGUGUUGAUUGUGAAAUGCCAGUUGAAGCAUAUGUCCUGCGAGCUUGGGGGUGCUACAAGUUGACCACUGCAGCAGUAAAGAUGACUCUGAAGAAUGGCGUGGGAUGGAUCCUUUCAAAUGCACUUGAGCAGCAGUCUCCAACCACAGGGCCACAGAGCUGGAGCUGGAUCUACCAUGAAAGACUUCUGAAUCCAGGAAGAGAGACUGACUGGGCAACAUGUUAUUCAGAAUCACAUGUAGGUGCCACAGUUAUCCCCAUUUUAUGAAUGGAGUGAUGAAAACCUUAGGAAUAAUGAAUGAUUUGCGCAGGCUCACCUGGC